CCAGCAAUGCCGCGUGAGUGAAGAAGGCCUUCGGGUUGUAAAGCUCUUUUGUCAGGGAAGAAACGGUGAGCUCUAAUACAGUUUGCUAAUGACGGUACCUGAAGAAUAAGCACCGGCUAACUACGUGCCAGCAGCCGCGGUAAUACGUAGGGUGCAAGCGUUAAUCGGAAUUACUGGGCGUAAAGCGUGCGCAGGCGGUUUUGUAAGUCUGUCGUGAAAUCCCCGGGCUCAACCUGGGAAUGGCGAUGGAGACUGCAAGGCUAGAGUUUGGCAGAGGGGGGUAGAAUUCCACGUGUAGCAGUGAAAUGCGUAGAUAUGUGGAGGAACACCGAUGGCGAAGGCAGCCCCCUGGGUCAAAACUGACGCUCAUGCACGAAAGCGUGGGGAGCAAACAGGAUUAGAUACCCUGGUAGUCCACGCCCUAAACGAUGUCUACUAGUUGUCGGGUCUUAAUUGACUUGGUAACGCAGCUAACGCGUGAAGUAGACCGCCUGGGGAGUACGGUCGCAAGAUUAAAACUCAAAGGAAUUGACGGGGACCCGCACAAGCGGUGGAUGAUGUGGAUUAAUUCGAUGCAACGCGAAAAACCUUACCUACCCUUGACAUGGAUGGAAUCCUUGAGAGA
rnacentral:rRNA from 1 species